rnacentral:rRNA from 1 species
CGGCUGAACCAGCAACUUGGAAGAAUGUAUAGCUUUUGCUAGUUUCUCAGAAAAUUGAUAAAUUUUUUUGAGAUAACAUUGAAUAUUCAAAUAAAAUUCUAGGUAAGAUCAUGAUAAUGACAUUUUCUUGCUUAUGUGGCUUGACCCAAUUACGUGCCAGCAGUCGCGGUAAUACGUAAGAGACUAGUGUUAUUCAUCUUUAAUAGGUUUAAAGGGUACCUAGACGGUAAGUAAAGCCAUAAAAGGAACUAAUUUACUAGAGUUACUUGUAAAGGAGCCCUAAGGUACUAGUGGUGGAGAGAUUUAAUUCUUUGAUACCUGUGUCUGAAUAGGACAAAGAUGGCACGAUUUUAGUGAAGACAUCUCCUUAUGGGAUAACUGACGUUGAGGGACGAAGGCGUCAUAUAGCAAACAGGAUUAGAUACCCUAUUAGUUGACUGCAGACAAUGAUGAGUGUUAUAGAUCAGAUAUUGAUUUUUUCUAUAAACGAUAGUGUAAGCACUCCACCUCAAGAGUAAUUUGGCAACAUUGGAACUGAAAUCAUUAGACCGUGUCUGAGAUCAGUAGUGAAGUAUGUUGUUUAAUUCGAUAAUCCGCGAAAAACCUUACCACAAACAAAUUUAAUUAAGCUGACUAGUUUAACGACUUAUGAUUGGUAUACAGUGAAUAUGUACAUUUUAUAAUGUAUUUACAAGUGUUGCACGGCUGUCUUCAGUUGAUGUCGUGAGAUCAGGUUAACUCCGUAUAAUUAACGUAGACCCUUGCUUUAUUUUUUAUAUAAAGCAGUUCUCCAGUAUAAUGGAUUAGAUAAUAGGGAGUAAGACAAGCCCUCAUG